rnacentral:sRNA from 1 species
AGAGAACAGCUUGAGCCCAGGAGUUCAAGACCAGGCUGGGCAACAUAGCAAGACAAAAAGGAAAAGAACAAAAAGGAAAAAAAAAAGGAGGGCAAAGUUUGAAAGUAUAGGUCAGAUUGGCUUUGUUGCUCUCCUUCUAAUGAAAGCUUUCAGCCCUAGAACAUGUCAGAUAGCUUUUUGGGAAUUGUCUUUUGUAGUGUUUUUUGUUGUCUUUCUGGUUUCUAAAAAUGAGAAUGGUUUUUCUGAUAUCAGAGUAACCCAUAAAGGUGUGAAUAAAGUGAAGAUCAUUCAUAUACUUACCAGUCAGUAGUAACCACUGGGAAAAUUUUCAUGGUAAACAAACCUGCUAUCCAGAAGGUUCUGUAACUUGCCUUUUUGUUUUCAUAUAACAGGGUAUCUUGGACAUUUUUUCAUGUCAGUAAAUAUAGAUAUAUCUCAUUACUUUUAAUGGUUAUAUAUUAUACUGUUAUAUUAAUAUGCUAUAAUUAUAUUGAUGAAUUGUUGGUUCUAAUUUUUGAAUAUUAUAAAUAUGCUGCUAUUGAUACAGACAGAUUCACAAAGAUACAUUUAUAAUAUAAUUUCUUUUCUUUUCUUUUUUUUUUUUUUUUUGAGACAGAGUCUCACUGUCGCCCAGGCUGGAGUGCAGUGGUGGCGGAUCUCAGCUCACUGCAGCCGCCGCCUCCUGAGUUCAAGCGAUUCUUCUCCCUCAGGCUUCCGAGUAGCUGGGACUACAGGCGUGUGCCACCAUGCCCAGCUAAUUUUGUUGUUGUUGUUGUUGUUGUUGUUGUUUUUGAGACGGAGUCUCGCUCUGUUACCCAGGCUGGAGUCCAGUGGCGCGGUAUCGGCUCACUGCAACUUACGCCUCCCAGGUUCAAACAAUUCUCCUGCCUCAGCCUCCGGAGUAGCUGGGAUUACAGGCGCCUGCCACCAUGCACGGCUAAUUUUUGUAUUUUUAGUAGAGAUGGGAUUUCACCAUGUUGGCCAGGCUGGUCUUGAACUCCUGACCUCAAGUGAUCCGCCUGCCUCAGCCUCCCAAAGUGCUGGGAUUACAGGCGUGAGCCACUGCACCUGGCCGUAUUUUUAGUAGAGAUGGGGUUUUACCAUGUUGGCCAGUCUGGUCUUGAACUCCUGACCUCAAGUGAUCCACCCGCCUCAGCCUCCCAAAGUGCUGGCAUUACAGGCGUGAGCCACCACACCUGGCCUAUAAUAUAGUUUCUUUAGGAUAGCUCUUAGAUCUGAAAUUAACUGUAUAUAUACAUUUAUACAGUUAAUAAAUGUAUAUGCAUAUAUACAUUUGUACUCAUCCCCAACAGUGUUGAGUAUGUAUCUUUAACCAUCUGGUAGGUGAAUAUUGGUAUCUCCUUUUUCUAAUACUGAUUUUUAAAAUUUUAUUGAUAUUGAACUGUCCAAGAAUACUUCUUGAGUGAAAAGCUAGCUUUAUUAAUUGAUUGGCUAGGUUUUUUAGUUGUAUCACAUGUUUCUUGGAUUUCUUUGAUAUAUCUUCUAUUCUUUGUCCAAGUUUCUUAUUGUGGUAGUAAUAUUUUUCCUAUUUAUAUGUGUUGAGCUACUGGGUUCUUAACAUAAUAAUGUUACUAAUCCCCUGUCAUAGGUGAUGCAGUUUUUUUUUUUCAGUUUGUUAUUUGUCUUUUAAGUUGAGUGAUUUUUUUUUUUGUCAAUGUAGUAAUAUUUUUAAAAACAAGGAUAAUCUUUAAUGGUUUUUAGCUUUGUGUGGUGUUUAGAAAGGGUUUUUCAGCUGUCAGUGUCAUGAUUGCAGAAGUUGUUACCUAAUUUUCUUCCAGUGCUUUGAUGGAUUUUUUUUUAUUUAAGUAUUUAUCUGAAAUUUAUUUUAAUAUUACUGUGUUAUUUUGUAUCUCCAAAUGUCUAGCUGGUUAUUUUAGUACCAUUCAUUCACUUGAAACCACUGGUUUGAAAUGCCACUAUUUAAAUUCCCUCACAUCUUUCAGUAGCUUUUGUGAUGUAGAUAUGGGUAAUAUGUUUGAUAAUGUUUCAACUCUUUUUUAAUCUUUUUCCCAGCCACCUGUCUUUACCAGUUUCCAAGACUAUGUUACUGGGCUUCAGACUUUAAUUUCCAAUGUUGUGGAUCAUAUUAAAGGGCUUGAAACACAUCUAAUUGCACUUAAACUUGAAGAACUUAUUUUAGAAGACACUUCUCUCUCACCGGAAGAGAGAAAAUUUUCAAAGACUGUGCAAGGGAAGGUGCAGAGCAGUUAUCUGCACUCACUUCUGGAAAUGGGGGAGCUGCUGAAAAAAAGACUUGAGACCACAAAGAAACUAAAAAUUUAAGGAAGUAUCUAUCACGGGCACUGAUGACUCUGCAACAGAAUAUGACACCAUCUUCCCAGGCAAAAGCAACAUCUGGUUGACCAUGAUUUUAAUCCAGAACUUCCUCAUAAAAUGCAUGAAGGACUUUGAUCGUGAAUUUUUUUA